rnacentral:rRNA from 1 species
GAUAGCAAGUCUGAUGUGAAAUCCUGGAGCUUAACUCCAGAACAGCAUCUGAAACUACCAUUCUAGAGGAUAGACGGGGAAAGCGGAAUUCCACAAGUAGCGGUGAAAUGCGUAGAUAUGUGGAAGAACACCAGUGGCGAAGGCGGUUUUCUAGUUUAUUCCUGACGCUAAAGCGCGAAAGCUAGGGGAGCAAACAGGAUUAGAUACCCUGGUAGUCCUAGCCGUAAACGAUGUAUACUUGGUGUAGCUGGUCUCAACCCCGGCUGUGCCGUAGCUAACGUGUUAAGUAUACCGCCUGGGGAGUACGCUCGCAAGGGUGAAACUCAAAAGAAUUGACGGGGACCCGCACAAGCAGUGGAGCAUGUGGUUUAAUUCGAUGCAACGCGAAGAACCUUACCUAGGCUUGACAUGCAGUAGACAGCUCCAGAAAUGGAGUCUUCCUUCGGGACUGCUGCACAGGUGCUGCAUGGCUGUCGUCAGCUCGUGCCGUGAGGUGUUGGGUUAAGUCCCGCAACGAGCGCAACCCUUGUCAUUAGUUGCCAACAUUUAAGGUGGGAACUCUAAUGAGACUGCCUGGGUUAACCAGGAGGAAGGUGAGGAUGACGUCAAGUCCGCAUGGCCCUUAUGCCUAGGGCUACACACGUGCUACAAUGGACGGUACAACAGGAAGCGAAAGCGUGAGCUGGAGCAAAUCCCCUAAAACCGUCCCCAGUUCGGAUUGAAGUCUGCAACUCGACUUCAUGAAG